rnacentral:lncRNA from 1 species
CCAAGACUUGCAGGAUGUAAAUACCUAAGUUUGUCAUACGUAGUAAAAACCAGUUCAAAUCUCGUGUUUCUUUGUCAAUCCUCAGGCCUGUUUACAUGGAGAGGUGGCGAAUACCUUAAAUGUUACGAUCCUCGUGCCAAGUAGGAUAGAUUAGGAGAGGUGGUACAAAUGCAUGUAGAUACCAAGACUUGCAUGAUGUAAAUAUUUAAUCCCAAUAUUAUUGCACAUUCGGUAGCAAAGAUGUUGACACCAAAUGUCGUCUGAUGAUGACUUUUACGGGAUUGAAUAAGGUUUGGUCAUUGUAUUCCCUGAAAGGAAUGAGAGGAGAAAAGAAACUGGAAGACCUGGCUAUCUGCAGGCCAAUGCUGGCUGCAGGUCAAUAUUGAAUGCUCUUAUGAAAACUCAUAAGACAAUAACAAAAAAAGAAGCUGAGGAUGCUGUUUUUAAAACAUGCUCCAUUCAAAAAAGGUGGAUUGAAAUCUAAGGUAGGCUUAGAUUCUAUUGCUCUUCUAUUGUUCAGUGUUGAUGCUUUUUGGAUAAGUCAGAAAAUUUACAACAUUAAAUGUAACUUGAGCUCUUGAUAAUCUUCAGCUUUACUUCUUUGUUUUUGGUGUUGCACUAAAAAGGUCAGCAUAAUUUGAUUCAG